rnacentral:rRNA from 1 species
GAUGAACGCUGGCGGCGUGCCUAAUACAUGCAAGUCGAGCGAACAGACGAGGAGCUUGCUCCUUUGACGUUAGCGGCGGACGGGUGAGUAACACGUAGGUAACCUACCUAUAAGACUGGGAUAACUUCGGGAAACCGGAGCUAAUACCGGAUAAUAUUUCGAACCGCAUGGUUCGAUAGUGAAAGAUGGCUUUGCUAUCACUUAUAGAUGGACCUGCGCCGUAUUAGCUAGUUCGUAAGGUAACGGCUUACCAAGGCAACGAUACGUAGCCGACCUGAGAGGGUGAUCGGCCACACUGGAACUGAGACACGGUCCAGACUCCUACGGGAGGCAGCAGUAGGGAAUCUUCCGCAAUGGGCGAAAGCCUGACGGAGCAACGCCGCGUGAGUGAUGAAGGUCUUCGGAUCGUAAAACUCUGUUAUUAGGGAAGAACAAACGUGUAAGUAACUGUGCACGUCUUGACGGUACCUAAUCAGAAAGCCACGGCUAACUACGUG